ACGUACACUCCUGCGGGAGGCAGCAGUGGGGAAUAUCGCACAAUGGGCGCAAGCCUGAUGCAGCCAUGCCGCGUGUAUGAAGAAGGCCUUCGGGUUGUAAAGUACUUUCAGCGGGGAGGAAGGCGAUAAGGUUAAUAACCUUGUCGAUUGACGUUACCCGCAGAAGAAGCACCGGCUAACUCCGUGCCAGCAGCCGCGGUAAUACGGAGGGUGCAAGCGUUAAUCGGAAUUACUGGGCGUAAAGCGCACGCAGGCGGUCUGUCAAGUCGGAUGUGAAAUCCCCGGGCUCAACCUGGGAACUGCAUUCGAAACUGGCAGGCUAGAGUCUUGUAGAGGGGGGUAGAAUUCCAGGUGUAGCGGUGAAAUGCGUAGAGAUCUGGAGGAAUACCGGUGGCGAAGGCGGCCCCCUGGACAAAGACUGACGCUCAGGUGCGAAAGCGUGGGGAGCAAACAGGAUUAGAAACCCCUGUAGUCCCAUGAU
rnacentral:rRNA from 1 species